rnacentral:rRNA from 1 species
ACCUGGCGGCGGCCUACACAUGCAAGUCGAGCGGAUGAGAGGAGCUUGCUCCUGGAUUCAGCGGCGGACGGGUGAGUAAUGCCUAGGAAUCUGCCUGGUAGUGGGGGACAACGUUUCGAAAGGAACGCUAAUACCGCAUACGUCCUACGGGAGAAAGCAGGGGACCUUCGGGCCUUGCGCUAUCAGAUGAGCCUAGGUCGGAUUAGCUAGUUGGUGAGGUAAUGGCUCACCAAGGCGACGAUCCGUAACUGGUCUGAGAGGAUGAUCAGUCACACUGGAACUGAGACACGGUCCAGACUCCUACGGGAGGCAGCAGUGGGGAGUAUUGGACAAUGGGCGAAAGCCUGAUCCAGCCAUGCCGCGUGUGUGAAGAAGGUCUUCGGAUUGUAGAGCACUUUAAGUUGGGAGGAAGGGUUGUAGAUUAAUACUCUGCAAUUUUGACGUUACCGACAGAAUAAGCACCGGCUAGCUCUGUGCCAGCAGCCGCGGUAAU